rnacentral:lncRNA from 1 species
CAAAUGCUAAGUUAGUUAUCACAAAUAUAAUUGCUGUAGAUCUUUAGAUGUAUGUUAACCCCAAAGAUUGAUUUUGAUGAAUAAUAAAAUACUUUAAUAUAUAUUUUGGACUAAUGAUUUCCUUAAGACUAUGUUUCAGGAAAGUUGUAGAGUAUCAAGAAAGUAAUUUUUAAAAAUACAAUCAAAAAUAAAUAAAAAAAUCUGAAAGCUUUUGAGUGUGCAUACAUUUAAAAUAAAGCUGG